rnacentral:piRNA from 1 species
UAAAAGAUAAAUGGUGGCUUAUGUCUGUA